rnacentral:rRNA from 1 species
AUUUGAAAGCUGGCGUCUUCGGCGUCCGCGUUGUAAUCUCGAGACGUGUUUUCCGUGCGGCUCUAUGGACAAGUCCCUUGGAACAGGGCAUCGUAGAGGGUGAAAAUCCCGUACUUGCCAUGGAAGUACCGUGCUUUGUGAUACACGCUCCAAGAGUCGAGUAGUUUGGGAUUGCUGCUCAAAGUGGGUGGUAGACUCCAUCUAAAGCUAAAUAUCGGGGAGAGACCGAUAGCGAACAAGUACCGUGAGGGAAAGAUGAAAAGCACUUUGGAAAGAGAGUUAAAAGUACGUGAAAUUGUCGAAAGGGAAGCACUUGAAGUCAGCCAUGCUGCUUGAGACUCAGCCUGGCUUUUGCUUGGUGUAUUUCUCGGUAGCAAGCCAGCAUUGGUUUGUGUCGUCGGAGAAGCGUAUGGGGAAUGUGGCAUCCUCGGAUGUGUUAUAGCCCUGUGCAGGAUACGACGACGUAGACCAAGGAACGCAGUGUGCCCUCUGGGCGGG